AAAGGAUUACUGCUACCAAACGCUGCUCAGAAUGAGAGGAACUGCAGGUUUAGUCAUUUGGUAUAUCUGCUUGACUAAAAAGCCAGUAGUAUGAAGCUACCAUCUGUGGGAUUGUGACUGAAUGCCUCUAAGUCAUAAUCCCCUCUAAAUAUAACAAUACUCCAGUGCCGUGGAGUGUUGGUUGGUCCCAGACAGAGAUGACUGUAGGGGGGUGCAGGCCCCAGGGCAAAUCAGCCUGUGUGAGUCCCCUUUAACACUGCAAGAGACAGGGCUGCGGCCACUCCGCCUAGCUCCUGCCCAGCUCCGCAGGGCCCCCCAAAACACAGGGCCCAGGGCAGUUGCCCCAAUUUCUUCCCCACCCCCCACAAAGGAUGGCCCUAAUCUCAGAUAUUUGGUCACCCCCCAUGAGGGGGUAGGCAGAGCUCUUUCUUUUGGGACCAAAGCACAGACAGAAGAGAGCCACCUCUCACUGCAUGUUCAUGGGGAACCUGGUGCUAAAUCAUUAGAUGACCCAAGUCUGGGUCCGGGCUUUUUAUGUAGCACAGUAGCUACCUCACUGCAAUUUAUUAAAAGUCAGCCCUUGACACAAGCUUU
rnacentral:ncRNA from 1 species